rfam:Clostridium sp. JC272 contig134, whole genome shotgun sequence.
AAGAAAGAUAGAGGCGAAGAAAUAUAUCCUGUAUGUGGGCACCUGGGGUAUAUGGAGUCAGUGGUGCAACCGGCUAUAUUUAUU